rnacentral:rRNA from 1 species
UACGGGGGGGGCAAGCGUUGUUCGGAAUUACUGGGCGUAAAGGGCUCGUAGGCGGCCAACUAAGUCGGAUGUGAAAUCCCCAGGCUCAACUUGGGAACUGCAUCCGAUACUGGAUGGCUUGAAUUCGGGAGAGGGAUGCAGAAUUCCAGGUGUAGCGGUGAAAUGCGUAGAUAUCUGGAGGAAUACCGGUGGCGGAGGCGGCAUCCUGGACCGACAUUGACGCUGAGGAGCGAAAGCUAGGGGAGCAAACGGG